rnacentral:rRNA from 1 species
UCGGAACCGAGGUUAAUACCGGAUACUCCAUAUUUGUCGCAUGGCGAAUAUGGGAAAGGCUCCGGCGGCAAAGGAUGGGCCCGCGGCCUGUUAGCUAGUUGGUGGGGUAGUGGCCUACCAAGGCAAUGAUGGGUAGCCGGGUUGAGAGACCGACCGGCCAGAUUGGGACUGAGACACGGCCCAGACUCCUACGGGAGGCAGCAGGU